AUCUGCAAUGGCACUUCUAAAUACACCUGAUCUCAUGAGAUCUCAGAGGCCCAGCGUGGUUGAGCCUGGUUCGUGCUUGGAUGAGAGACUGCCUGGGAAUGACAGCUCCGGGUAGAUU
rnacentral:rRNA from 1 species